rnacentral:lncRNA from 1 species
UGUCCAACAUCACCUACCUACUAAAUAGUAAAACCAGGAUUUGGGCCCAAGAAAUCUGACCCCCAGGUAAUGCUCUUAACCACUUCUGUGAUGAUGAAGGAUGCAGGAAGAAAAGCCAUAAUAAAGGGCCAUAUUAAACUAACGUUAUGAAGACCCAGAAAGCGUAUAGUGCCAGAAGAGUGCAUAAUGAGGAGGGAGGGAGAAUGAAGCUCUGAUACAAUCUGAAGCAUAAGACUAGAUCUCCCUGAAGAGGUGACAUUUGGACUGAGAUCUGAAAGUCUGUAUAUAAGCUAACUAGUCACCAGGAAACAAGAAUUGCACAUGCAAAGGCCCUGAGGCAGUACAGAUCACAGCCUUUUGUGGACCUGAAAGAAGGCCUGAAUGCCUGAAGUGGAGACAGUGUCAGGGAGAUUGGUGAGUGAUGAGGCUAGAAAAGGAAGCAGAAUCCCCAUCUUGUAAACUAUGUUAAUGAAUUUCACCGGAAAUGUCCAGCCCACAAGAAGAGUCUCAGGUGCAGAAUCUGAUUGGUUCCACUUUGUCAAGGUAUGCCCGCUUAUCCAAUCAGCAGGAGGGGCAGGAUCACGUGGACUCCAGAUCCCAUCAGUGUGAGGAGGAAGGGAUGCUCUACCAUGAACAAAUGUGCAUAUCAGAGCACAGAUUCCUGCAUUGCCCAGCAUCUCUGAAAUUACAGGAUUCCCAGGAGGGAGGACCUGAUUGAGGUGAACGUUCACCGUCCAAAAUACAGCUUUCCCACUGAAGAGGAUGCUUCCCACAGGUCUUUUCCAGGAAGAACCCAAAGAGGGCUGCCAUUGCUCUGGGCCAUUUCCUCUCCAAUCAGCUGACGGCGGCACAGAGGUGCUGAGGGUGAAGUGCUAAUCCUAAACCUCUGUGCACAGUGAUGACUGCAACCAAGAGGCUGGAAGCCGCCACAGACAUGUUUGUUUUGAUUAGCACAAUAUCGGCUCAUACAUUAUUAUUAUUUUUAUAAUGCUCAAUCAACAGUUUUACAUAGGGAGAUUUCAUGUAAAAAUCCAGAUUUCCAGCUUCUCUUGAAAAACCAGAAUAUUAGAAAACACCAACUACAGUCAACAGGGACUGAGUAGUGGCUGACCCCUUUAAAAGGCGCCUGAGCUCUCCAGUUCACCAUAGUCCCUGAAUCUCCCUAAUGUCAACUAGCUUCACUCAUUUAUUUACGUGCCUGACUUUUGCAGGCACGUGAGUUGGCAAACACUAAAAUAAGUAAUGUGCACUUUUCUCAAAAGGGAGUUUAUGAUGUGGCAGGCACUUAAAAAGUCACUGACUAUAGGAUGUCACAAUUUUGAGUUCAGAAACUGUGCCUACUAUAAUUCCACUGCUGCUGGCAGCCCCUGGAACAACCUUAAGAUAGCCUCGGAACACAGCUAGCCAGCGUCCCUGCUAGCUGCUGCCUAAAAGGCAAGAGAUCGUUUACUCUAUCAUGAUGGCCUGACUGGGCUUGACGUGAUCAUUUAAAAAAGGAUAAAGAGGGCGGGCCGAGGGCCAAGUGAUUAAGCUCACACACUCUGCUUCGGUGGUCCAGGGUUUCGCCAGUUCAGAUCCCAGGUGCAGACAUGGCACCACUCAUUGAGCCAUGCUGAGGUUGUGUCCCACAUGCCACAACUAGAAGGACUCACAACUAAAAAUGUACAACUAUGUACCGAUGGGCUUUGGGGGAGAAAAAGGAAAAGUAAAAUCUUUAAUAAAAUAAAAAGGAUAAGGAGAGAACA